GACGUAGGUGGCGAACGUUAUCCGGAAUCAUUGGGCGUAAAGGGUGCGUAGAUGGCAUGAUAAGUUAUUAGUGGGAAAUCGAGGCUCAACCUCGUGGAAGCUAGUAAUACUGUUUUGCUUGAGUACAGAAGAGGUUAACGGAACUCCAUGUGGAGCGGUAAAAAUGCGUAGAUAUAUGGAAGAACACCAAUAACGGCGAAGGCAGUUAACUAUUCUGUUACUGACAUUGAGGCACGAAAGCGUGGGGAGCAAAACGG
rnacentral:rRNA from 1 species